UACGUAGGGUGCGAGCGUUGUCCGGAUUUAUUGGGCGUAAAGAGCUCGUAGGCGGUUUGUCGCGUCGGCCGUGAAAUCUCCACGCUUAACGUGGAGCGUGCGGUCGAUACGGGCAGGCUAGAGUUCGGUAGGGGAGACUGGAAUUCCCGGAGUAGUGGUGAAAUGCGAUAGAUAUCGGGAGGAACACCGGAGGCGAAGGCGGCCAGCUGGCGCUGACCUGACGCUGAGGCGCGAAGGCUUGGGGAGCGAACGGGG
rnacentral:rRNA from 1 species